rnacentral:rRNA from 1 species
AGAGUUUGAUCAUGGCUCAGGAUGAACGUUGGCGGCGUGCCUAACACAUGCAAGUCGAGCGAAGCACUUUACUCUGAUUUCUUCGGAUUGAAGAGGGAUUUGACUGAGCGGCGGACGGGUGAGUAACGCGUGGGUAACCUGCCUCACACAGGGGGAUAACAGUUAGAAAUGACUGCUAAUACCGCAUAAGGCCACAGCACCGCAUGGUGCAGGGGUAAAAACUCCGGUGGUGUGAGAUGGGCCCGCGUCUGAUUAGUUAGUUGGCGGGGUAACGGCCCACCAAGACGACGAUCAGUAGCCGACCUGAGAGGGUGACCGGCCACAUUGGGACUGAGACACGGCCCAAACUCCUACGGGAGGCAGCAGUGGGGAAUAUUGCACAAUGGGGGAAACCCUGAUGCAGCGACGCCGCGUGAGCGAAGAAGUAUUUCGGUAUGUAAAGCUCUAUCAGCAGGGAAGAAACUGACGGUACCUGACUAAGAAGCACCGGCUAAAUACGUGCCAGCAGCCGCGGUAAUACGUAUGGUGCAAGCGUUAUCCGG